AGACCGUGAUGAGGACAUAAUCCCAUCAUGUCUUUAUAUUGUUCCCAUGCUUAAAAGAGUGAUUCCCCUCCGGUUUGUCUAAACAUAGUUAUAUGAUUUCUUAGCAU